rnacentral:rRNA from 1 species
CCUACGUGAGGCAGCAGUGAGGAAUAUUGGUCAAUGGACGAGAGUCUGAACCAGCCAAGUAGCGUGAAGGAUGACUGCCCUAUGGGUUGUAAACUUCUUUUAUAUGGGAAUAAAACGUUCCACGUGUGGGCUUUAGUAUGUACCAUAUGAAUAAGGGUCGGCUAACUCCGUGCCAGCAGCCGCGGUAAUACGGAGGAUAGGAGCGUUAUCCGGAUUGAUUGGGUUUAAAGGGAGCGCAGGUGGAUUGUUAAGUCAGUUGUGAAAGUUUGCGGCUCAACCGUAAAAUUGCAGUUGAAACUGGCAGUCUAGAGUACAGUAGAGGUGGGCAGAAUUCGUGGUGUAGCGGUGAAAUGCUUAGAUAUCACGAAGAACUCCGAAUGCGAAGGCAGUUCACUGGACUGCAACUGACACUGAGGCUCGAAAGUGUGGGUAUCAAACAGGAUUAGAUACCCCUGUAGUC